rnacentral:lncRNA from 1 species
AACCAUUUCCAGCUGUGUAGCCAAAACUACAGCUGGAUGGUGUCCGUGGCCGGUAGAGUUGUAGUUCUUAACCAUUUCAACGUGUAGCGACAGCUCCAUAUUUUCUGUUGUAAUGGCCUAUAGAGUUGUAGUUCUUAACCAUUUCAACGUGUAGCGACAGCUCCAUAUUUUCUAUUGUAAUGGCUGAUAGAAUUGUAGCCAUUCCAACAUGGGGACUCCGUCCCGGCGUUCUCUGACUUAAUGUACAUUUAGUAGGAAGUGGGUUUUAUACUCUGUGGAAGAAGGGGCGGUUCUAUGACACCUAAUGUUAUGUCUGGGAUCAUGGGGGUGUGGCCACUGACUAGUUAAACUUUAUAUGAAAAUCUAUAGAAAGUGAACAUCACAUUACAUAUUUUCACAAAUAGUUUCUUGUUGAAUCACAUACGUUUCACCAAAUUUAUAUGUGAACCUGACAGCUGGUAAAUGUACACUUUAAAGAUACAGUUAUGUGUGUUUCUUGUCCUUCAUGAGAUCACCAAAUGAAACACACUCUACAUGACUGUCCCUUAAAUAUCCACAGACCAUUCCCACGUUCUCAAAAUAGAAAUAUUGUUUCAUUAUUCAAACUUUUGUUGUCCAAGGGUCUCUGUGUUCCACUGUUUACAUUCCAAUCUCGAACACUACACAGCAUAGAGGCAGCGUAUUUUAUGACUGCCCAUUAAACAGCCGACUUCCCGCUCUCCCCCGCUAGGAGAGAGAGCACGCUGUAGAGCGGACCCCCCUGUAACCUGAUCCUUCAGAUCAUCACAGGAGUGUCAUGACAACAACCACCAAUGUUUUUUCCCCUCUGACAUCAUCGCAAGCACAAUAGAACAGCAGAAUAUGUACUAUGAUGUUUUUGUACCAAGAAGCUCUCCUCUUAUAAACAGAAUAUGUUCUGUGUACCAAGAUGCUUGACGCUGCUCUCCUCUUAUAAACAGAAUAUGUUCUUUGUACCAAGAUGCUUGACGCUCCUCUCCCCUCUUAUAAACAGAAUAGUGUUCUUUGUACCAAUGCUUGAACGCGCCUCUCCUUAUAAACAGAAUAUUUUUCUUUGUACCAAGAUGACUGGACGCUCCUCUCCUCUCUUUAUAAACAGAAUAUGUUCUUUGAGCAAAGAUGCUUGACGCCCUCCUCCCCUCUUAUAA